AGGACGCGCACACAUGCUCCUAGGGCAGGCCGGUGUCACCCGCCACGGGAGACACGCUCCAAUCACGGCACGCCGCCACCUCCGUGAAGAUGGGGACCGCUGUUCGCUGGUUUCUUCGGAAAAUGGUUUUGUCCAGAAAAGCGAAGAACGGCAACUGAGGACAAGCAGUGUACGGCAAAGCUGUCGACGACUCCCACGAGCAAAGGAAAAGGAACACACAGGACCUCCUACUUUCCCCGAGGGGUCACUGAGGGCCAGGCCCACGCAAACGUUGUCAGCCACCCACAGGGGUCGGGCGAUUGAGGAAGGCAGGCUGUGAGGCCACAGCACCGUCCACACCACACGGCAAGGCCAGGCUCUCGCUGCCACGCCAUGGAC